AUGGUUCAUUGUGAUGUUCCAGUUGAUAACAGGAAAUUGCGGAAGCUUAAAUCUCCUCUAAGAGUCAAGAUAUUCCUCUGGUUUCUAAACAGAUGGGUCAUCUUAACUAGAGAUAAUCUGGCACGGCACAACUGGCUAGGUACCAAGACAUGUGUCUUUUGCCAACAUGAUGAGUCUAUUAAACACUUAUUUUUUGAGUGUAAGUUCGCUAGGGCAGUUUGGGCCAUAGUUCAAGUAGCUUCAAAUUUAUAA
rnacentral:rRNA from 1 species